GACGAACCGUCCGAACGUUAUUCGGAAUCACUGGGCUUAAAGGGUGCGUAGGCGGCGCGUAAAGUUGGGUGUGAAAGCCCUCGGCUUAACCGAGGAAUUGCGCUCAAAACUGCCGUGCUCGAGGGAGAUAGAGGAGAGCGGAACUUAGGGUGGAGCGGUGAAAUGCGUUGAUAUCCUAGGGAACACCGGUGGCGAAAGCGGCUCUCUGGAUCUCUUCUGACGCUGAGGCACGAAAGCUAGGGUAGCAAACGGG
rnacentral:rRNA from 1 species